GCAGCGGAGCGUGUGGUUUAAUCGUUGCUACACGAAGAACCUUACCUGGGUUUGACAUAUAGGUUGUAGGGAACUGAAAGGGACGACCCUUCGGGGAGCCUAUACAGGUGUUGCAUGGCUGUCGUCAGCUCGUGUCGUGAGAUGUUCGGUUAAGUCCGCUAACGAGCGCAACCCUCGUCGUAUGUUAUAUGUGUCAUACGAGACUGCCGGUAAAAGCCGGAGGAAGGUGAGGAUGAUGUCAAGUCAGCAUGACCUUUAUAUCCAGGGCUACACACACGCUACAAUGGUCUGUACAAUGGGUAGCCAAGCCGCGAGGCGGAGCCAAUCCUGAAAGCAGGCCUCAGUUCAGAUUGCAGUCUGCAACUCGACUGCAUGAAGCCGGAGUUGCUAGUAACCGCAGGUCAGCAAUACUGCGGUGAAUACGUUCCCGGGUCUU
rnacentral:rRNA from 1 species